UCUUUUGUUCGAUUUUGGCCCGCUUAUGUUGCUUAUUUCUUGGUCCUUGCUUCUAAUUUAUUUGAGCUUUAUAUUUCGAGUCUUUGUUCAUGUUUGCUUCCCCUACUAUGCUAGGUUUUUGUGCUACGACUGAGUUAAUGGCUGAAUGAUAUGUUUACCCUCUCUAGCUAUUAUCAUUGUGUUAUACAACCUGGUUUAAAACUUUCUAUUUGCAUAUAAGUUUCCACACUGAUUCCUUUUCGCUUUUAUUGGUUAGUGAUGUAAGGCCUAAUUGGGUUUAUAAUUUCUUUGUGCAGUCGCUUUUAAAGACCAUGCUGCGACAAUGCAUUACCUAUGUAGCUGAUGAUUUUGGCCCUUGCUUUUGUUUCUCUUGGUAGAAUCAAUAUAACAUAUUUAUUUGAAUGUUUGUUUCUUUGUUUGUAAUUUUUUUGGUCCUCUACGUUUUGUAAAAUCUAAUAUUUUUAAUUAUUUUUCGACCCCUCACGGGAUCGUGCUCCAAGACGCACCUAUAUAAGGUUCAGAGUCGUGUUACUGCCAGUAUAUUUGAGUAUUUAAUGGACAAUACAAAAUGCUUAAUGAAAUGAUCAUAAGAGGUUCAUAUAUGUGAUUUUCUUAACAAUGAUGGGUUGUUUGAGAAAAGUCCCAUGAUGAGGGAUUAGAAUGCGAGUAUACACGCUAACAUUAUUAUGCUCUGUAUUAAUUAUGUUUCCUCCAAUGAUUCAACUAAUGAAUGAACAACUGGAAUGCAAGAUUGUUAUUUGCUUUCUUUUAAAGUAGUAGAAUUUUGGUAAAUAAUUUACCAGAAUGUCUAGGUACAAUCUCAAUCACUGGUUUAUAAAAGGAUUAAAACACGAGAUAUAAUUAAAAAAACUUUUCUUAGUUUAUUCUGGGUACUCGUGUUCCAGUACUCUAUCUUGUCCACAAAGUUUGUGCUACUUUUUCCCUCAAAAUAAAAAAAGUUUGUGCUACUUUUUUCUUGCAGAGUGAUGCCUUUAAGCUAGCCGAUAUCUGGUCCAUAUGUAUUUUCAAGAUCAUCCCAAGCUAUUGAUGCAACUUAAUUUAACGUUAAUUCAGUUGGAAAAACAAAAUGGCCAGGGAUAAACACUACCAAGGUAUUCUAUUUAUUUUUCCACUAUUAUCUAUUUUCAGCUAGGGAGAUUUAUGCUUGAGUGCAAAAUGUGAUUCUGUAAAGAUUAUUUUUCCUUGCCUUUUUUGAUUUUCCGCUUUUGAGUUUUCCUUGCCUCGGCGAGCGUUUCCUCUAUGGAUACAAAUAGUGAGUUUUCCCCUAAAUUAACUUCUUAAUUUUUUUACUUGCAUAUGUAAUUGCUGUUUGGACAUGAUUGAUUUCUAUAGUUGUUCAAUAUAAAAUUUUAAAAAGUGCUAAUAAUCUUGGAAUGUGCUGAGGGGUAUGUAUAAAUUGUUGGCUGAUCCUUUAGUGGUCUGCUUUAUAUAGACUGUUUCCUGAUUGCACUAUAUUGUUAGGCCUGGGAUCUAAUCAUCAUAUUAUUUUGCACCGAAUAUAAUAUGUUUGGAUUUUCAAUACGAAAACCGUUGAAUGGUAUCAUAUGUUGGCAGCUCCUUUAUCACCGUUAUUAUAGAUAAGCAUUGGCAUGAGCUCCACAGGAUCGUGCACCAAGGCGCACAUUUAAAUGGUGUUUUAAAUCUUCCUGAAGGUUUGUUACUGUUUGCAGAGAAGAAGGAAAAUGAUCAAUGGAAGGCUCUGACUUUAUAGAAGCUUGUAUACUUAACAGAACCCAGACAAUCUUUCCUCUUGUGCGCAUUUGUACAAAGAAAAGAAAAUAGCUAUAGCUUGUGGUAGUUAUUCCAUUGAAUACUCUAACCUCUAGGUAACAUGUGGUGGAGGGGAAAAUCAUGCGCUCUUUUGUCUCGCUGUGGGGAUUGGUCGGGGUCAUUGACAAGGGCAUUGUUCAUUUGGUAUAUAUUCCAUGACAAUUGAUUGUUAUUUUCCUUAUUUUACCCUAUCAAACUCUAUUCCAUAUUCACAGGUCAAAAUGUCAACGUGAUGGUGUGUUCAUCGAUCUUAUUUACUGGUCAUUGCUAUCAUAGUGUAGAAUAAGCAUUUGGAUACUAGAUAGUGUAGUCGCGAUGAAGGUGUAGUCACCUAUACUAUCAAGUUGGUUUUAAAAAAAUUCAAUGUAUAUGUCAAGGAAUGAGUCAAUGGAGUGGUGUCGUCGUCCAG